GGCGGAUGUAGCCAGGGGAAUCAGGGCGUUGAAUUGUAAAUCACCCCAUGCGGGGAUGCUUU
rnacentral:tRNA from 1 species